rnacentral:tRNA from 2 species
UCCGGCAUAGCUCAGUUGGUAGAGCACCUGACUGUUAAUCAGGUUGUCGACGGUUCGAGCCCGCCUGCCGGAGUCA